UCCGUAGGUGGAUAAUUAAGUCAGAGGUGAAAUCCUGCAGCUCAACUGUAGAAUUGCCUUUGAUACUGGUUAUCUUGAGUCAUUAUGAAGUGGUUAGAAUGUGUAGUGUAGCGGUGAAAUGCAUAGAUAUUAUACAGAAUACCGAUUGCGAAGGCAGAUCACUAAUAAUGUACUGACACUGAGGGACGAAAGCGUGGGGAGCGAACAGGAUUAGAUACCCUGGUAGUCC
rnacentral:rRNA from 1 species